GACGAACGCUGGCGGCGUGCUUAACACAUGCAAGUCGAACGGAAAGGCCCUGCUUUUGUGGGGUGCUCGAGUGGCGAACGGGUGAGUAACACGUGAGUAACCUGCCCUUGACUUUGGGAUAACUUCAGGAAACUGGGGCUAAUACCGGAUAGGAGCUCCUGCUGCAUGGUGGGGGUUGGAAAGUUUCGGCGGUUGGGGAUGGACUCGCGGCUUAUCAGCUUGUUGGUGGGGUAGUGGCUUACCAAGGCUUUGACGGGUAGCCGGCCUGAGAGGGUGACCGGCCACAAGGGGACUGAGAUACGGACCAGACUGCUACGGGAGGCAGCAGGGGGGAAUAUUGCACAAUGGGCGGAAGCCUGAUGCAGCAACGCCGCGUGCGGGAUGACGGCCUUCGGGUUGUAAACCGCUUUCGCCUGUGACGAAGCGUGAGUGACGGUAAUGGGUAAAGAAGCACCGGCUAACUACGUG
rnacentral:rRNA from 1 species